rnacentral:rRNA from 2 species
UCGAACGAUGAAACUUAAAUGAUUUCUUCGGAAUGAACUUAAGUGGAUUAGUGGCGGACGGGUGAGUAACGCGUGAGUAACCUGCCUUACACAAGGGGAUAGCCGUUGGAAACGACGAAUAAUACCCUAUGAAACUAUCACUUCGCAUGAAGCGAUAGUCAAAGUGUUAGCGGUGUAAGAUGGACUUGCGUCUGAUUAGCUAGUUGGUGAGAAAAAAGCCCACCAAGGCAACGAUCAGUAGCCGGCUUGAGAGAGUGUACGGCCACAUUGGGACUGAGACACGGCCCAGACUCCUACGGGAGGCAGCAGUGGGGAAUUUUGCACAAUGGGGGAAACCCUGAUGCAGCGACGCCGCGUGAUUUAGAAGGCCUUCGGGUUGUAAAAAUCUUUUGUAUAGGAAGAAAAUGACAGUACUAUACGAAUAAGGUCCGGCUAAUUACGUGCCAGCAGCCGCGGUAAUACGUAAGGACCGAGCGUUGUCCGGAAUCAUUGGGCGUAAAGGGUACGUAGGCGGGUCAUUAAGUUAGAAGUCAAAGGCUAUAGCUCAACUAUAGUAAGCUUCUAAAACUGGCGACCUUGAGUAAUGGAAGGGAAAGUGGAAUUCCUAGUGUAGCGGUGGAAUGCGCAGAUAUUAGGAGGAAUACCGGUGGCGAAGGCGACUUUCUGGCCAUUAACUGACGCUGAGGUGCGAAAGCGUGGGUA